GGGCGUAAAGCGCACGCAGGCGGUCUGUUAAGCUAGAUGUGAAAGCCCCGCGCUCAACGUGGAGGGUCAUUUAGAACUGGCAGACUAGAGUCUUGGAGAGGGGAGUGGAAUUCCAGGUGUAGCGGUGAAAUGCGUAGAGAUCUGGAGGAACAUCAAUGGCGAAGGCAACUCCCUGGCCAAAGACUGACGCUCAUGUGCGAAAGUGUGGGUAGCGAACAGGAUUAGAUACCCUGGUAGUCCACACCGUAAACGCUGUCUACUAGCUGUUUGUGGAUUUAAUCCGUGAGUAGCGAAGCUAACGCGAUAAGUAGACCGCCUGGGGAGUACGGCCGCAAGGUUAAAACUCAAAUGAAUUGACGGGGGCCCGCACAAGCGGUGGAGCAUGUGGUUUAAUUCGAUGCAACGCGAAGAACCUUACCAGGCCUUGACAUCCUAGGAAUCCUGUAGAGAUACGGGAGUGCCUUCGGGAAUCUAGUGACAGGUGCUGCAUGGCU
rnacentral:rRNA from 1 species